rnacentral:rRNA from 1 species
GACGAACGCUGGCGGCGUGCUUAACACAUGCAAGUCGAACGGAAAGGCCCCUUUGGGGGUACUCGAGUGGCGAACGGGUGAGUAACACGUGAGUAACCUGCCCUUGACUUCGGGAUAACUUCAGGAAACUGGGGCUAAUACCGGAUAGGAAUCCUUGCUGCAUGGUGGGGGUUGGAAAGCUUCGGCGGUUUUGGAUGGACUCGCGGCUUAUCAGCUUGUUGGUGGGGUAGUGGCUUACCAAGGCUUUGACGGGUAGCCGGCCUGAGAGGGCGACCGGCCACAGUGGGACUGAGAUACGGCCCAGACUCCUACGGGAGGCAGCAGUGGGGAAUAUUGCACAAGGGGCGGAAGCCUGAUGCAGCAACGCCGCGGGCGGGAUGACGGCCUUCGGGUUGUAAACCGCUUUCAGCAGGGGCGAAGCUUGUGGUGACGGUACCUGCAGAAGAAGCACCGGCUAACUACGUG